AGCUCUUGCUCCUGCUCCUUCGCCUGCUUGCUGCGUGAGACUGAGUAACUGCUAGAUCCUUGGACUUCCAUUCACAGCUGUGACUGAACGAUUGUUGGGAAUUGAGCUGCCGACUACCCGGAAGUGCAAUCGAACUUGGUCGGGGCGCGGAUCUUGAGAGAGAAAGUCCGAGCCAGGGCGCAAGGGAGUUCGCCCAGAGAUCUGGAAGGCCACGCCUCCUCGCACCUACCCUCUCAGCAUUGCAGCUGGGGACAGAGCUCAGCAAAUCUACAGGAAGCUCCUUUCUCACGUGGAAUAUAAAUUACUGCUGAAUUGGAAAAUCACUAGGCAAUCCAGUGCUGACGAGAACUAAGGAGUCUGGAAGCCUAAGCGGCAUUCACUAGUUUAUUAAGGAUUUAAAUAUAUGUUGCCUAUUGCUGUGUAAUAAAUUACCUCCAAAUUUAGCAGCUUAAAGCAAAAUCCUUUAUCAUCUCAAACAGCUUCACAGUGUCAGAGAUUUAGGAGCCUUUUAUCUGGGAUGCUCUGAGAUUAAGAUGUCAGCCGGGGCUACUUUUGUCUGUAAUUUGGCUCUGUAGGAUCUACUCCAAGCUCUUGGCAGGAAGCCUCCUUUAAAAAUGUAGAGCUCUUGAUAGGACUGAUCAUAACAUGACUGUUCCAAACCUCGUCAACUGAGAAAGAGAAGACAGGAAGAAGUUGGGGGGAGAGAGGGAGAGAGAGAGGGAGAGGGAGAAAGGAGGAAGAAGAGGAGGAAGAGGAAGAAGAGGAGGAAGAGG
rnacentral:lncRNA from 1 species